GAUGAACGCUGGCGGCGUGCCUAAUACAUGCAAGUCGAGCGAACAGACGAGGAGCUUGCUCCUCUGACGUUAGCGGCGGACGGGUGAGUAACACGUGGAUAACCUACCUAUAAGACUGGGAUAACUUCGGGAAACCGGAGCUAAUACCGGAUAAUAUAUUGAACCGCAUGGUUCAAUAGUGAAAGACGGUUUUGCUGUCACUUAUAGCUGGAUCCGCGCCGCAUUAGCUAGUUGGUAAGGUAACGGCUUACCAAGGCAACGAUGCGUAGCCGACCUGAGAGGGUGAUCGGCCACACUGGAACUGAAACACGGUCCAGACUCCUACGGGAGGCAGCAGUAGGGAAUCUUCCGCAAUGGGCGAAAGCUUGACGGAGCAACGCCGCGUGAGUGAUGAAGGUCUUCGGAUCGUAAAACUCUGUUAUUAGGGAAGAACAAAUGUGUAAGUAACUAUGCACGUCUUGACGGUACCUAAUCAGAAAGCCACGGCUAACUACGUG
rnacentral:rRNA from 1 species